AGAAAUUACCAGCGAGUGAUAUCUUACGGCUACCACUUGAUGUGGGGAAUGUGAGAUAUCUUAUGCCAGUCUUCUCCUUUCCCCUCUCUAUAACGGUUUUCCAGAAGAGGACAUAUGUGAAUAGUCAAUUCCUGCAGCGUCGACGUUCGAAGGAGGUAAUCCGGCAGCACCUUUAAUUUGGGGCAAUUCUGAAUAAACAAGAAAGAAAGACGCGGUAUGUCUGUUGUCCUGCGAUCUUCUAGAAUGGGCAGUUCUUCCAAAUUUUCACAAGAAUAAAUACUCAGUUCCUGCAGUGCCGUCGUUUGAAGAAGGUAAUCUGGCAGUACCUUUAAUUUGUUGCAAGACCAAAUCAUCAAGGAAGAAAGACGUGGCAUGAUGGAGAUGUUUUCCUUCCUCGUAAUCCUGUAAUUCCACUCUUCCAAUUCUUGCAUGUCCCAAAUUUUGAGAGAUUUCAAUUUGGUGAAGGCAGUAACUGAUGAUGAUGAUGAAGAUGAGGACGGCUCAUCAUCACUGCUUUCUUCUAUUCCCAAAAACUCAUUACCCACUCUUUUUACACUUGUCAAGUACUUUAGUUCGAGUUUUUCCAGAGGUAAUUUUCCCAAAGGAGGCAAAUGCUCACAGUUAAAACACAACGAAAGUUUUAGUUCCCUUAGAUUGGUUAGCGAAGUCAACCAUUUGGGAAAAAUGUUGCCUCCGUAGCAUUUAAUCCUUAACUCCUCUACAUUCACAGGCGGUUGUAAGGCUUCAAGAAGUUGUUUAUCUUUCUCAUUCUUCCUCCUCCCUUCUUCACCUUCCAUAUCUACGACUCCAAACAGAAGAUGCAAACGAAGGAGGUUUUUCUUAUUGUAAAGUUGUAACCUCUUAGCCUCAUCUACAUGCGAUACAUUACUCAGUUCUUCUACUCUACAUUCACGAAGGAGUUGAAGAUUUUUCAGAGAUUCAAGCCUACACGUGCUGCCGCCAUCAACACCUCCACCCACAACAAACCUUUCUAAUGUUCGAAGGCUGGUCAAUCUGGAAAUCCCUAUUGGCAGGUACUCCAACGAAGAAGUUUUAGCAUUCAGUAAACUCCUCAUGUUCAUUAACUUCCCAAUCCCCGCUGGCAAUUCUCUAAGAUUUCGGCACCGCCUAAUAUCUAGCUUUUGUAAAUUAUAUAAUUCACACAAAGUCUCAGGUUGUCUCUCUAUACACAGUCCAGACAAAUUAAGAUAUUUUAAAUGUAUCAAUUUUCCGACAUUUUCUGGAAUUUCUCUAAUCAAAUUUGGGUCAAAAUAAAAAGGAUAAAAAUAUACGAAUGAUUGCCUUAUAACUAAUGUCCUUAAACACGCCAAUUUACUAAAUAACUCCUGAAGGAUACUACUAUUAAGACUCAGAUUGGAAUAACUUUCAUCAUAAAUUAAGAGGCUACGCAAUCUAUCAAAUUCAAAAAAGGACGUAGGAAAUGAAGCACCUCUUUCAAAAUUUAACCCUAAGUGACGGACUUUCUCACCAAAAGAGUUUAUGACUGAUUCUUUGGUACCAUUAAUUUCUAGCCACAAACAUUCUUUGCUACUUACAAAUUGAGCAAAAUCAUGUACUAUGUCAUGCAUCUUGCAACUCAUAAUAUCAUCAUCAUCAUUUUUCUCAAACUCUUGAAAGAAAGAGCGUGCUGCUAAAAUGUUGAAACAUUCUUCCCCAGUAAUGUCCAUCUCUUCAUAUUCUUCUGCAUUAAGGUAACCUUGAGCCAUCCAUAGUGAAAUUAGUUCCUCUUUAUUCAUAUUGUAGUCUUUUGGAAAGACAGCACAAUAUGAGAAACACCGUUUUACCAUAGAAUUGGAGGGCAAAUCGUUAUAACUCAACAACAAAGGAGCUAAAAGACCUUGCCCAAUCUCUUCUACUUUCCACAUUUCACUCUUUAAAAUUCUUUGCCACUCAUUUACUGUAAUUUUAGAGCGCAAGAGAUUCCCUAUUACCUUUGCAGCAAGAGGCAGGCCUUUGCACUUCAGUGCAAUUUUUCGCCCAAUUGGUUCUAAUUUUUCACAAUCUUCGAAAGAGCGACUGGAAAAUGCCAACCGCUUGAACAACGACCAACAUUCCUCUUCAGCCAAUUGCUUAAUGAAGAUAAUAUUUGUUGAUCCCAUCAUACGUGCAACUGACUCAUUACGUGUGGUAACUAAAAUUUUACUUCCUUGGAGACCAUUCUUUAGACAAAGGAAGAAUGGUUCCCAUUUAUUUUAACUCCCAUCCCAUACAUCAUCUAAGACAAGAAAAAACUUUUUUCCUUCAAUUGAUCUAUGGAUAUGGCUCGUAAGAGAUUGGAAUUCGUUUAAACUAGGAGCUGACUCACCUAGACCUUCAAUGAUUGCUUUGACAACCCUAAUCUCCUCAAAAGUGUCUGAUACACACACCCAUAUAACUUUUUCAAAAUUUCUUUUCACCUCAUCAUUAUUAUAGGCUAGUUGUGCAAGAGUGGUUUUACCUAUACCCCCUAACCCAACUAGUGAGAUGACAUGAAGGCCUUUUUGUUGUUCACUACUUUCACACAACAACUUGCUUAAGAGCUCAUUUUUCUCAUCAACUCUACCGCAAACCUCUCCCUCAUCAAUCAAGGAGGUGGUUCGCACUCGCUCUGGUUUCUUAACAUUGUUGCUCACAUUCUCAACAAAUUUAAACGUAUCUUUUUGGGAGGCAAUAUCAUCUAGCUUUCCAUUGAUUUCCCUAAUCUUGACGGCAAUGUCAUGACGAAGACUAAGUUGUUUGAAACUACCAAAGCAGUUUGAUACAGCACAAAAGAAGGAGCGUACCUUCUUCUUAUGAGGAGCAAGAGCAAGAGCAUUGUCAUCAUCAACGCCCUCAAUCUGCAAUUUGAGCCUUGCAGUGGUCCACUCCUCCAACACGUCUUCCAUGUCGUAAGAUGCGUCUUUGAGCUGAUCCAGCCAAAAAGUAACAGCAUUGUCGCGCUGCAUUUGCCUUUUCUCUGCAUCUUCCAGCACAGCUCGAAUGGCUCGAAGAUUGCUGGUAAGCUUUUUCACUUCUUCUCGGACACCAGUCACAAGCCUCACGUGUUGUUUCACUUCAUCAGCCGCAACGGAGAUCAGCUGCUCCAGGAGAGAGGAAACGAUCGCAUCAACCAUUCUGACAAAGAAAACGAGAAUUUUGAUGAGUUAUUAGAUGUGCUUUUGUUGCGAAGAUAUGAAAGAAAAGGAGUUAUUGCGUUCUUUUAUACUGCAUAGAAAAAGCUUAUGCUUAUCCCCACCCCACACGUCAAUGAUUGUAGAAUGUUUAUUUUCCCUGAUUCUACUCCACUAGUUGUGAUGCGUAAUUAUAAAUAUUCUCAAGUUAUGUAUGAAAAUAGCACAAAUUUGGAUCUAGUAAUGAUUUUUAUGUACUUUUUCAUCAUCUUCUAAAAUACCAUCUCUGCAUGUGCACGAAAUAUGGAAUUGGGUGAAAAAAGUUAUGCUUAUCCCCACCCACACGUUAGUAAUUGUAGUAGCAUCUUUAAUUUCCAUGAUUCUACUCCACGGACGAACACAUUUUUUGUAGUAACAUCUUUAAAUUCCCACACGUUAGGAAUUUGGCACAUAUCUCAAACUCGUCGCAUCUUUAACGUAUGAAGUUGAUGAAUAAAUUCUUUUCUCAUGUCAAUUUAAAACUCCGAGAUUAUGUGCCAAAUUCCUAACGUGUGGGAAUUUUACCUCCUAAGUAAUCCGGCCCACUACCAAGUGCCAACUUUUUCUCUGUCGAGUUAAUGAUGUUGUUUUGUUUUCCUUGUUUUAAUUAAUGUUGCCGAGAGAAACAGAUCGAUGCAAAUGGCUAGCCAGGUUUUGCAGAAACCGUGAAUGGUCUUGCAUGUGACAUAAAGCUUAAUCAUGUAUAUAUGUGUGUUGACACUUGCCAGUUCAUUUUUGUUAUAAAGAUUAUUGAUACUCAUAAAUGUACUACUUACAAAUCAUAAAUUUUGAGUUUGACACUUUAGUUUCAUUUUGUAAUCCCUACACUCUUUAAAUAUUUGUAACAAUAUAUUUCAAACUUUAACUCAGACGUAAUGAAUGAAGGGGGAUCCUCUUCUUAUAUAAAUUUUUAUUUUUUAACGUUCAAGUUACAUUUGAUUACGUGUACUUAUUAUCUAGUUUUGACUAUCUAAUUACAUUUGAUUACGUGUACUUAUUAUAUAAUUUUUUUUUGAAAUGAUGGAUCUGGUGAGAUUUUUUACAUCUUGGAUCAGUAGGUCAAGAACAGGCAGGGCAGGGCCUUCUCUGAAGUCAAUCUUGUGAGCAACACCAGCUUUUUGGAUAAUUGGCAGCCCCAAUUCAUAAUUUUCUCUAUUGAUGUCCAUGGCCAAAAUCUGCAACCGAAGCUUAUUCUACUCUUAUUAAUCGAGAGAUAAUUUUACCUCUAACUAAUUUAAUUGGGAGGAAAAUCGAGAGAGAUAUCCACUUUGUCCUUAUUAAUUGAGAGAUAAUUUUACCCUUACCCAAUUUAAUUGGAAAGAAAAUCGAAUUCCAACAAUAACUAGGACUCGAAUCCAUGCACUUAAGCUAACUUUAUGCUUUUGGACGCAUGGUUAUAAUGUUCUUUAUUUAAAUCCUAACAAAUGGUGGGACUUGAACUUGUGCCUACAAACAUUGAGUGCUUAGGGGCUGCAAAAUUUCAUAACUUAAUUUUAGUUGAUGUGGCAUGUGCCCUAUCACAUCAAUGUAGAUAAUAAUAAUUAAUACAUUAACAAAAUGAAAAAUAUUAGUUUACAAAAUACAAAUCCAAAUUUUUUGUGUGAGAGGGGAUUUAAAAGGGAGAGACUAAACAAAUGUGGUGAAAAACGACAUGUAUUACUACAACUGAAAAUACGAAGUCUAGGCAAUUGAAAACAUCGGGUUUUUUAUUUAAAUAUCCCCAAUUUGUCCUUAAAUACCAAAUUUAUACCCUAUUAUAUACAUAUACCUCACGAAGAUAGGGAAAGUAAAAAAUAACCUAAAAAAAUCAGGAAUCCGCACAUUUCUUCCUCUUAGUUCAGAAAGAUGUCGAGUACGAAGUCGGGUAAGUCGAGAAUUUAGUCGAGCAAGAAUUGGAGAUAAGUAAGUCAAUUAGGAAGUUGAGUAAGCAUAUUAAGUGAGUCGAGUAUUAAGUGGUUGAGUAUUAAGUAAAAGUCAAGUAAAUUUUUUGAACAAGUCGAGUAAAAUUUAUGUAAUUUUUAAAGAGGUCGAGUAUUAAGUCGGGUAAGUACAUUGGGUCGAGUAUUAAUAUUUUUAAAGAAGUGAAGUCUGAUAAGUUGAGCAUUUAGUCGAGUAAGAAGUUAAGGCAAUUGAAUAAGUCGAGUAUCUAGUUGAGUACAAAGUCGGGUAAGUUGAGCAUUCAGUCGAAUAAGAAGUAAAGACAAUUGAAUAAGUCGAGUGUCUAGUCGAGUACGAAGUCGAGUAUGAAAUCUGGUAAGUUGAGCAUUCAGUCGAGUGAGAAGUGAAGGCAAUUGAAUAAGUCGAGUAUCUAGUCGAGAACGAAGUCGGGUAUGAAGUCUGGUAAGUUGAGCAUUUAGUCGAGUGAGAAGUGAAGACAAUUGAAUAAGUCGAGUAUCUAGUCGAGUACAAAGUCGGGUAUGAAGUAUGGUAAGUUGAGCAUUUAGUCGAGUAAGAAGUGAAGGCAAUUGAAUAAGUCGAAUAUCUAGUCGAGUACGAAGUCAGGUAUAAAGUAUGGUAAGUUGAGCAUUCAGUUGAGUAAGAAGUGAAAGUAAUUGAAUAAGUCGAGUAUCUAGUCGAGUAAUCAAACCAAUUUUCUCCAUAGAGUCUUCAAAGUCAACCUAAAAAUGAAAUGCAGGUGGAAAUGAAAAUUCUAUAAACUAAAUAAAAUAAAAUGCAAUUCUUGAGCUUGAGCUUGCUUUUACAUCAUCAUAAUAGUGAAUUUUGAUACAUCUUUACUUUUCUGUUCUUGUUUAUUCACAACAAGAUAUCAAUAAAAGAAGAUGGAAAUGAAAUUCUAUAAAAUAAAGCAAGUGAAUUACCAGAAGAACAUUUUAGCAAUCCUUUGGCUAAAAUUUUCAUUUUCUUAGCAUACUCUCCUGCCUGUGAAUUGCUAGUGUGGUUCUAACAUUUCCUCGAAUCCCUGGUGAACAUAAUUAAACUCGUAUGAAAUAAAACAAAGUGGGCUAAUGUACUACUAAAAACAAUUACACAAUUACUUUAAAGAAUUAGUGUCUGUUUGGUAUGGCUUAUUUAAGAGGCAUAAGUGCUUAUUUAAUCGUAUAAGCACUUUUUAAAAAUUUUUAUGGUGUUUGGUUAUUUUUUUUGCUUAAAUAAGGUAAUUUACCUCUACUAGCAAAAGUCCAAAAUUUGAGCUUUUGGGAGUAGAGGUUAUAGAGCUUUUCUAAAAAUAUAUAAUAUAAAAAAUAUCACACAGUUUAAUGGUUCAAAAGUGAUUUUUUUAUUGACAACCAAACACCCAAUGACUUUUUUGACCAAAAGCUUUAUUAGUAUAAGCUCUGCUGCUAUAAGCUCUACUGUUAUAAGCUCUAUUUAAUAAGCUGUACCAAACAGAGCCUUAAUGUCACAUAAAUUAUAUAUAAAAAAAUACGAUUAUCAUUAUACAAGAUAAAAUUGAUAAUUUAGUUUUCAACAUUACUGCAAAUGUAUCACAGACAUUUUGUCUCUCAGCGAGUUACACAUAACAAAUUUUCGUACAUUAAAAAAUAAAUUGCAUUGGGAUUUUCUAUGAUAUUGUAUGAAAUUUUACAAAAGAGCACAUAUUUUUUUAAAGUAAAUAAAUAUAGAAAUUUCAGCAGACUACACUUGUAUUUUUUUAUUAUUUAAUUUUUAGAAAACAAGUUCAACAGAUUUGAUCACUAGGAAGUUUUACAUAUUUAUACCAAGAUUGAUUCUAUAUAGAAUCUUAAUUCAAAAUAUAAUUAUUUUUAUUAAUUUCAUUGCAAGCAACAAUGAAGUAAAUCAGAGGAGGAGAAAUUACCAGCGAGUGAUAUCUUACGGCGACCAAUUGAUGUGGGGAAUGUGGGAUAUCUUAUGCCAGUCUUCUCCUUUCCCCUCUCUUAACCCCAAAUUGUCAAUGUCUGCAGUGUCGUUGUUUGAAGUAACAACAAAGUAAAAUACAGAGAAAUUACCGGUAGGUGAUAGUAAUUGCAACCAUUCGAGAAUUUACCACUCGAUGUGGGGAAUGUGAGAUAUCCUAUGCCAGUCUUCUCCUUUCCCCUCUCUAUAACGGUUUUCAAGAAGAGGACAUCCCUCAAUACUCAAUUCCUGCAGCGUCGUCGUCCGAAGAAGGUAAUCCGGCAGCACCUUUAAUUUGGGGCAAUACCAAAUCGUCAAGGAAGAAAGAUGUGGUAUGUCUGUUGUCCUGCGAUCUUCUAGAAUGGGCAGUUCUUCCAAAUUUUCACAAGCAUGAAUAACCAGUACCUGCAGUUCCGUCGUUUGAAGAAGGUAAUCCGGCAGCGCCUUUAAUUUGUUGCAAAAACCAACUUUUAAGGAAGAAAGAUGGGGCAUGAUGGAGAUGUUUUCCUUCCUCGUAAUCUUGUAAUUCCACUCUUCCAAUUCUUCCAAUGCUACAAUUUCGAGUGAUUUCAAUUUGGGGAAGGCAAUAACUGAUGAUGACGAUGAAGAUGAAGAUGGGCCAUCCUCACUGCUUUCUUCUAUUCCCAAAAACUCAUUACCCACUCUUUUUACACUUUUCAAGUGGAUGAUUACGAGUUUUUCCAGAGGUAAUUUUCCCAAAGGAGGCAAAUGCUCACAGUUAAAACACGAGGAAAGAUAUAAAUUCCUUAGAUUGGUUAGUGAAGUCAACCAUUUGGGAAAAAUGUUGCCUCGGUAGGAUUCAAUCUCUAAUUUCUCUAAAUUCACAGGCGGUUGUAAGGCUUCAAGAAGUUGUUUAUCUUUCUCAUUCUUCCUCCUCCCUUCUUCGCCUUCCCCAUCUACGACUCUACCAAACUCAAGAUGCAAACGAAGGAGGUUUUUCUUAUUGUCUCAUCUACAUGCGAUACAUUACUCAGCCCUUCUACUCUACAUUCACGAAGGAGUUGAAGAUUUUUCAGAGAUUCAAGCCUACACGUGCUGCCACCAUCAACACCUCCACCCACAACAAACUUUUCUAAUGUUCGAAGGCUGGUCAAUCUGGAAAUCCCUAUUGGCAUGUACUUCAACGAAUAAGUUUCACCAUUCAGUAAACUCCUCAUGUUCUUUAACUUCCCAAUCCUCGCAGGCAAUUCUCUAAGACUUGGGCACCGCCUAAUAUCUAGCUUUUGUAAAUUAUAUAAUUCACACAAAGUCUCAGGUAGUCUCUCUAUACAUAGUCCAGACAAAUUAAGAUAUUUUAAAUGUAUCAAUUUUCCAACAUUUUCUGGAAUUUCU
rnacentral:lncRNA from 1 species